CCAAUAGCGUAUAUUAAAGUUGUUGCAGUUAAAAAGCUCGUAGUUGAACUUCAGGCCUGUCCAGAUGGUCCGCCUUAAUUGGUGUGUACUGUCCUUGGGUGGGUCCUACCUUCUGGCGAAGCGGCAUGGCCUUAAUUGGUUGUGUCGGGGAAGCAGGACUUUUACUGUGAAAAAAUUAGAGGGUUCAAAGCAGGCAUAAUAUGCUCGAAUACAUUAGCAUGGAAUAAUGGAAUAGGACGAUGGUUCUAUUUUGUUGGUUCUAGGACCGUUGUAAUGAUUAAUAGGGAUAGUUGGGGGCAUUAGUAUUCAAUUGUCAGAGGUGAAAUUCUUGGAUUUAUUGAAGACUAACUACUGCGAAAGCAUUUGCCAAGGAUGUUUUCAUUAAUCAAGAACGAAAGUUAGGGGAUCGAAGACGAUCAGAUACCGUCGUAGUCUUAACCAUAAACUAUGCCGACUAGGAAUCGGGCGAUGUUGACAAAAUGACUCGCUCGGCACCUCAUG
rnacentral:misc_RNA from 1 species